rnacentral:rRNA from 1 species
CCUACGGGUGGCUGCAGUGGGGGAUAUUGCACAAUGGGGGGAACCCUGAUGCAGCGACGCCGCGUGGGUGAAGGAGCGUUUCGGCGCGUAAAGCCCUAUCGGCAGGGAAGAAGGAGGACGGUACCUGACUCAGAAGCCCCGGCUAACUACGUGCCAGCAGCCGCGGUAAUACGGAGGAUGCGAGCGGUAUCCGGAUUUAUUGGGUUUAAAGGGUGCGUAGGCGGAUUUUUAAUUCAGCGGUAAAAUGGCCGGGCUCAACCCGGGACGGCCGUUGAAACUGGGGAUCUUGAGUGGGCGAGAAGUAUGCGGAAGGCGUGGUGUAGCGGUGAAAUGCAUAGAUAUCACGCAGAACUCCGAUGGCGAAGGCAGCAUACCGGCGCCCGACUGACGCUGAGGCACGAAAGCGUGGGGAGCGAACAGGAUUAGAUACCCUGGUAGUC